GACGAACCGUCCUAACGUUGUUCGGAAUCACUGGGCUUAAAGGGCGCGUAGGCGGGCAAGCAAGUCAGGGGUGAAAUCUUUCGGCUCAACCGGAAAAGUGCCUUUGAUACUGCUUGUCUGGAGGGAGGUAGGGGCAUGCGGAACUUCUGGUGGAGCGGUGAAAUGCGUUGAUAUCAGAAGGAACGCCGGUGGCGAAAGCGGCGUGCUGGACCUCUUCUGACGCUGAGGCGCGAAAGCUAGGGGAGCAAACGGG
rnacentral:rRNA from 1 species